GACUAUUGAGUUGCUGAUGUCUGAGUGUGAGUAAUUUUUUGCCUAUGUGUUUGAUUUGCAAACUCGUUCGAUACAUUUAUCUCUCCACUGUUAUUCUGAAUAAUUGCAUGUUGUUAUAAAUUUCAAGUUUGCUUCUUCACUAUAAAUCUUCCAAUUUCUUUUUACAAGAAUCUUGCAUACACAGAAAAGUGAGGCUUUGACAAGGGAUUACGUGUGGACCAUCUCGAACUCAAUGAAUAUGUAUGCUCCUUCUGUUAUAUUCUUGAUUGUUUUUCUUGUUAGUUAGCAUAAAAGAUUUCUAUCGUCUUGUUGAAUUUGUUAAUAAUUAGAAAAUGAUUACAUUUUUCUGAUUAAAUUUUAGUGAUGCUUAGUUUGCCAUGCUGUGGAAGGUGGAGGCAGUCUCGAUGUGGAUGGGUGAAAGGUAAAGGUUGAGGGAACGAGGGCGUCGAAGGAUCCACCAAAGUUGCCAUUGUAGUUGACCACGCCACCGGCGGUGUGUCAGACCUUUGUUGCCUCUGCAGGGAAGGGCAGAAGGCCUGCACCGCCAUGGAUCCUGUCCCAUCAUCUUGAGCACUUGUCGGUAUUGCCAUAUUGCAGAUUAUCUCUGAGGGAAGUUACAUUAUUUUCCCGUUAAUUCAGAUAUAUUAAUAUGUCCAGAUGUAAUUCCAAAUAUCUUAUGUUAGGCAAAGCUUCUAAAAUCAGUGAAGCUCUAGAGCUACUAAGGACUGGUUAAAUCAGUAAAGUUUUACAAUAUCUGCAUGAGUGGUUAUAACAUAGCACAUGUUAUUUGGUACUUCACUAUGUGGUAUCCUUUUUUUUAAUCUUGAUUAUUGAGUCAACAUAUUGAUUGUGGGCUUAUAUACUGCCAAACUGGCCUUCUUAUUCUGUCAUCCA
rnacentral:lncRNA from 1 species